UGAAGGAGAACAGCGGCAGUG
rnacentral:sRNA from 1 species